rnacentral:antisense_RNA from 1 species
AGUUGCGGGGAUUUUUCAAGAAGCAGCAGCUACCCCGGCGUCGGUCACUGGGCCGGGGUAGGGGAAAGAGCAAAAUCCCAGUGGGUUUGCGCGAGGGAUCUUCUAGGGUCGAGGCGGGUGUGGGGGGGAGUUGGAACCGGGAGACACCGCUUGGCGCAUCUCUCCCUCGGUCUCUACCUCCUGUCCUAUGCCAGCUCCCCCUUUAAUUUUUUUCCUCUCCUUUAAUCUAAUUUCUUCCAACUCCACCUUUGUUGUUACCGGCGUCACACCCGGACCAGCCAAUCCCCGCCACGCAAUCAGCUUGUCAAAAAGCCUCGGCCAUCCCUAGGAAAGCAGGCCGCAGGCGCUGCCCCCCGGCGGCGGUGGGCAGCCGCGAGGGGAGCCCAGCACCCGGUUCUCGCUGCCCCGGGUGGCAGCGGGGCAGCCUCCGACAAGACGUCCCUUGGUUCACUGUCCUGCAGGCCGGGGAUGAAAGGCCUGGACAGGGUCCACCACCCACUCUCCCACUGCCACGGCCGUGGUUGACUGUCUUUGCCUCCCCUUUUCAGAGGAAAGGUUAUCAGGACAGGACGCAGGGAGCCAGAAGACCAUCUGAAGGAAGCCCGCUUCCUGGGGCAGCGCCAUUGCUCCUGGCUCUCAGGCUGCCAGUCUCCCACACCGACGCUCUACUGCCCGCAUCUCGGCCAGCUGGGUCACCCAGCCCCUUUCGACUCUCCCCUGGCACGCAGCCUUCUCCUUCACUCGGCCUGCCUCGCUGCUGCUGUAAUUCCUCUUGUCUCCUGGGAGAAAUGAGAUUGUUUUCCCAGGACUUCCACAUCCCACUUCUGUCACGUUUCACAAACAGGGAGGAAGCCCUGUCAAGAUCUGGUGUGUCCUGUUUUUUUUUUUUUUUUUUUUUUUUUUCCCCCAGAGGGCACUGGCAUGUAGGAGAAGCGGAUUUACCACUAGUAGAUGUUAAUGAAAUUUCAGCUUCUAGGCCCCUAACUUGCAGGACCUGCCCAAGGCCCUGAACUUAAUUUUGUUUUCAUCAUUUGGUAUUUUUUUGUCAAAAGAGCCACCGACCACCUCCCCGCUACCCCAGAACUGCACGUGUUUCUGGCCCUACAAACCCAGAUCGUCCCUUGGAAUAUACACAGGGCAAUUUGUGUAGGAUCACACUGCGCUAAAAGUGAGGCAUGGUGGGCUAGGCGCACCGGCUCACACCUGUAAUCCCAGCACUUUGGGAGACCAAGACAGGAGGUCUUAAGUGAUUAAGCCCAGGAGUUCGAGAUCAGCUUAGACAACAUAGCAAGAUGCUGCCUCUACAAACACACACACCCCCUAUUAUAAUAUGUCAAAAAAAAAAAAAAGGAAAAGUGAGGCAUAGAACUGACUUUAUUGUUUUGACUAGGAAAGAGCAAAGGGUUUGGAAUCAAAAGUCCCAACUUCCCCACCUUCUUAAUAGUGUGUGAAUCUGAGUGCCUUAUUAACCUUCCCUGGUCCCAGUUUCGUAUCUGUAAAGUUAGAAUAGCAAUCCUGUUUAAUUUGCUUCUCUCACCAGGGAUCAGAAGGUCAAAUGAGAUGAUGUAUGUAAAAUUGUAAAGUCCUCCACAGAUGGCACUUGCCACAUUACAGAGAACUUGAGACCCCCCCCACCAAUAACGUUCCAAAUCUUCCACAUGCAGAUCUGGAGUCCAGGUGUCCUGGCUCCUGGCCCUGAACUUUUUGGCUGGGCCAAGGGGCUUUUCGGUAAAGUGCUUUGGAAUAAAACAGGAUGAACAUGAAUCAUAAGAA